rnacentral:tRNA from 1 species
GCCUGUUUGGCUCAAUGGAUAGAGUGUUGGCCUGCAGACUAAAGGGUCCCAGGUUCAAUUCCGGGCAAAGGCA